rnacentral:rRNA from 1 species
CGGAAAUUGACGGGGACCGCACAAGCGGUGGAUGAUGUGGAUUAAUUCGAUGCAACGCGAAGAACCUUACUACCCUUGACAUGUCCGGAACUUGCCAGAGAUGGCUUGGUGCCGAAAGGGAAUCGGAACACAGGUGCUGCAUGGCUGUCGUCAGCUCGUGUCGUGAGAUGUUGGGUUAAGUCCCGCAACGAGCGCAACCCUUAUCAUUAGUUGCUACGCAAGGGCACUCUAAUGAGACUGCCGGUGACAAACCGGAGGAAGGUGGGGAUGACGUCAAGUCCUCAUGGCCCUUAUGGGUAGGGCUUCACACGUCAUACAAUGGUCGGUACAGAGGGUUGCCAGGCCGCGAGGCGGAGCCAAUCCCACAAAGCCGAUCGUAGUCCGGAUUGUUCUCUGCAACUCGAGAGCAUGAAGUCGGAAUCGCUAGUAAUCGCAGGUCAGCAUACUGCGGUGAAUACGUUCCCGGGUCUU